rnacentral:rRNA from 1 species
UGAGGAACAUGACCUUCGGCGGGGGAUAGCCGGCCCAACGGCCGGGUAAUACCGCGUACGACCACAUGGGGACAUCCCUGAGUGGUGGAAAGCAGCAAUGCGCCGAUGGAGUGCCUCGCGGCCUAUCAGCUAGUUGGUGAGGUAACGGCUCACCAAGGCGACGACGGGUAGCUGGUCUGAGAGGAUGGCCAGCCACAUUGGGACUGAGACACGGCCCAGACCUCUACCGGGA